GCAUCGCCGGCUGUAGAUGGUUCGCCGUAACUCAUUGUCCGGCGACUAAGAGGGAACAGGGUGCGAUAUUUAUCGGAUGUCUAAACCUUGGCUGCCCCCGCAACUGUAAGCACCGAUGCCACUCUCAUUCAUCGCCACUGGGAAACCGGGAAGGCUGGGAAAGGCGCUAGAGGUGUAAGCCAGGAAACCUGCCGCUACAAAAAUCAUUGC
rnacentral:ncRNA from 2 species